AGGGCACAAGCAGAUGGGCAAUAAAACCAGGGCCGGAUUUAACGAAGCGGAGGCCGCACGAUCCAUACCCUUGCUGCUUCCGUGUGGAGUUGUUUAUUUAAUUAAAUAUCUUAUUUUUAUUUGCAUAAGGGGAAGGGCAAUUUGAUAUAACUUGAUGUGUGACUGAACUGAGAGAACCCAGGUUUUGUGGUUCCCCUGUGCCUGUCUUGUGCAAGAUGGAUCUUUUGCAGAGUCUUUGUCUCGUGUGUGUCUUCAUAUCUGGGUCUUUGGCACAGCACUCAGUGACACAGCCUCCUUCAAUGACCGUCUCCCCUGGACAAAAGGCUAAAAUGGACUGCACCCUUGGAGGGGGUCUCACAGUUGCUGCAAAUAGAGUGAUGUUUAUACAGCAGAAACUAAACAGUGUACCCAGAUAUAUUCUGCAUUAUUUCACAGAAUCCAAGAAGGGUAAGGGAGAGGGUGUCCCAGACCGUUUUGUAGGGUCAGCCUCAGGCAACAUUGGAUACUUGGAGAUCUCGGGGGUUCAACCUGAGGAUGAUGCAGUUUAUUACUGUGUAACAUGGACUGGGAGCCAGUGCACAGUGACAUUAGAGCAUGGGGAAGUGAAGCAAAUACUUUUGCUAGCCCAUAGAGAAAAGCUUUUAAAAAAUAUAAACCAUUUUGUUUUGGUGCAGCGAGGGUGAGAUCUGGAGAGAACGCCUGCUCUACUAGAUACAGUAGAAAACCCAUCUUGAAAAGCAAUUAGGGUUAGAUUUGAGCUGAAAACUCAUUUUUUUGAGCUAGAUAAUUCUUGUAACUGUGGUUGAAUGACUGAUUGGACAGAUGACAGUUUUUCUAUCUGUGAUAGGAAGAUUUUCAUUUAAGAUUAAAAUUGUAGAGAUUUGGAAUAGAAUUGAAUACUGUUGCUAACAGUGAUGAUGAACCCCCUGGCCCCACCACGCACACACUGCCACCUGCUCCCACCCCCGCUUGCACCCCUACCACCUCACCUGUUCCCUGCUACUGGGUGGGAAAUAUAGUAGCCGUAGGCCCGGACCUUUGUGGUCUGCCCACAAAUUCGGCCAUGAAUACCUCACCACAACUGUCCUAUGCAUCUCAUACAUUAUUAAAUGAGCACUAUUGGCAUGAUUUUGCACCCCUUAGUGCUUUAGCACUGCAUCCCUUUGUAAAUGAUCCCUUGGUGAAGAGCUUGAAUCAUUUUUGGCAAGGCACUGUAUGUAUGUACAGUAUAAUGGAGAAAUCAGGGCCCACGUGCAAUCCACAGUAAUAUAAACAGUCAGCAUAUAAAGGAAAAUCUGCAUUCACAAGGACUGUAAUGGAAUAAAGAUGCAUAUUGUCAUGUAGUUUAAAGGGAUUGUCAUGAGAAAAAGUUUUUCAACGCAUUAGUUAAAAGUACUGCUCUAGCAGUAAAAGGGGACCCGUCACCCAAAAAAAUUAUUA